CUGAUCAACAUAUAAAAGCCACCAAACACAUGAAAGAAAUUACAGUACAUCACACAUCAAACAUUUUGGCCUGGUGCUUCCUUCCUCUAAUCCUACUGGCAGGAAACGCUCUACAUAUCCUUUGAGGUGACCAGACACAUUUAAAAGUAGUCCCUGGUUAAAAAAGCUCUUUGGCUACUGCAGUUUUCUCCAAAGAGGAGAGCGCCUUCUGCUCAGCACUGCUCCCUUCACUUCCACUUGAAGCACCUCAAAGGAGCUCCGCUGAUGAGAAAAAUCAUUGAAUGGAAAUGAAGAAUACUUUUUCCCUGUUCCUUCCUGUGAAACCUGUCUGGAUGGAACUUCCGGAAACAUUCCUUCCUCGUAUCAUAAUUUUCAGAAGAUGUACAGACUUAAUGCCGAUGAAAUUGCUGCAAGAUCGAAGAUAAGAAAAUAAACUUACUGGUAAAUAUCUUUCCUGAGGACAGUUCUGCCAAGGGGAUUGUCAGCUUGGGGAGCCAUAGCAACAGAGCCAAUCUUCAAAACCAUCGUGUCUUCUUUUGCUGCCUGAUUAACUGUAAUAAAAGAAAUGGAUUCAUGAGGUA